AGGUCAUAAAAAGUUUCAUAACGUGUUCUGAAUUCUCAAGCUUAUAAAUUGAAAUGGAACACAAUGUUUUCUCAUUCAAAUUUCUGCGGUACUAGCGGUGGUUUUGUUACAAUUAAGAAUGUUGCGCAUAGCAGUGUUACUGGCGCUGGUGGGAUGUUCCCAGCAGGUUGGAUUUUUGUUGAAUUCUUUCAAUAUGCCAGGAGCUGUGCAGUCUGAAGCAGCCUUCCGCAAACCAUUUUUCUGUCAUGAUUUGGACUGUCCAAGAUACACUGUUCUAGAGACUAACGACAAAUUCGAGGUUCGCAAGUACGAAGCAAGCAUGUGGGUAGCAUCGGAAACGGUGGCGUUUUACUACACAAAGCGUGAGAGUGACGCCAUGUUCUUUAAGCUGUUCCACUAUAUAUAUCAGGAAACAACUCCAUGAAUAUGAAGAUUGCUAUGACCACUCCAGUGAUAACAGAAGUACUUCACGGACCAGGUCCGGACUGCGAAAGCAACUUUACAAUGCACUUUAUGAUGCCGUACGCCCUGCAGGCAAAUCCACCACAACCCACAGAAUCAGGUGUUUUCAUUAGAAAUUUACCGGAAAUGACCGUUCUUGUUAAACAAUACGGUGGUUUUAGCACAGAUGAUUCAAAGAGAGGUAAACUUAGAACAGCUCAUCAACGACUUGAACGCAGCCAAAAAGAAAUACCGGGACGACCGCUUCUUCACGGCGGGAUAUGAUGGACCAGUACGCCAUUGAUAGACAUAACGAGAUCUGGGUGGCCGCUUUAUAAGCGGGCCUUUUAGUGCGAGAUUUAUUCGGACAGCGCAUAUAUUUCUAACAUGUGCUAAAUUUGAACGUGCAUAAUCUGAUCGAACUUUCAUUAGACUUAAGCUUGUCAUGGAAUAAAGAAUUAACAAUUGUAAAUGUAAACUUUACCUGCUUGCACAUACUAAAACGUAUAUUGUACAGACACUGUACAAGGCGAAUUCAUACGAAUUCAAAUUCAAUUAUUAAUUAUCAAUUAUUAAUUCAAUAAUAAAAAGCAACGAUAUAGAAUAUAUGGAACAGAUUUCAAUUCUAUCUCAUCUUUACAUAUAUAUAUAUAUAUAAUAUGGUUUAGAAUGUUUGUUUAUACCUCUUAAAAGAACAAGGACAAAGUUUCACGGUUUCUUUCUUAUCUUACUGACUUGCAUUAAACUUACUGAAAGAACAGUCAUGUACAUUGCCUGCGAACAGGGGACACGUAGGCCCGAAUAGUAACAAAGUGCAUUUUGAUAUAUACAUGUAUGUACAUAAUUCCUUUAUAUUUGUAAUCACAACAUGUUGU
rnacentral:lncRNA from 1 species